rnacentral:misc_RNA from 2 species
UAACCACUCAAGCCUUGGCUUGGUAUUGGGGUUCGCGGUUUCGCGGCUCUUAAAAUCAGUGGCGGUGCCGUCUGGCUCUAAGCGUAGUAAUUUUUCUCGCUAUAGGGUCCCGGUGGUGGCUUGCCAAAACCCCCCUUAUUUUCCUAC